rnacentral:rRNA from 1 species
AACGAACGCUGGCGGCAUGCCUAACACAUGCAAGUCGAACGAGACCUUCGGGUCUAGUGGCGCACGGGUGCGUAACGCGUGGGAACCUGCCCUUAGGUUCGGAAUAACUCCCCGAAAGGGGUGCUAAUACCGGAUAAUGUCUUCGGACCCAAGAUUUAUCGCCUUUGGAUGGGCCCGCGUUGGAUUAGCUAGUUGGCAGGGUAAAAGCCUACCAAGGCGACGAUCCAUAGCUGGUCUGAGAGGAGGAUCAGCCACACUGGGACUGGGACACGGCCCAGACUCCUACGGGAGGCGGCAGUGGGUAAUAUUGGACCAUGGGCGAAAGCCUGAUCCAGCAAUGCCGCGUGAGUGAUGAAGGCCUUAGGGUUGUAAAGCUCUUUUACCCGGGAUGAUAAUGACAGUACCGAGAGAAUAAGCUCCGGCUAACUCCGUG